rnacentral:lncRNA from 1 species
CCGAACAUCCCUUUCCCUUUUCCUUUACCUGUUCACUGGCAAAGUUUUAUCAGCUAUUUCCAUCAGCUUCCCGUUUCCAUUGCUAAUCCUACGCCACUAGAUCCACCAUCUCUUCUGUCGUGGUAAUCAUCCUCCUCCAUCGGGAACAUUGGUACUCAUGGCCCAGUUUGUCUUCUGUCUCUCUCCACCUCCCUCAUAACAAAUCCCGGCACCUCAUCCAUAAGGUAAAUCAUUUCCCCGCUUUUUAGUCCCUCUGUAGCUAUAAUGUGUGACGAUUAAUUUCCCCCUUUAGCAGUGUAUAGAAACUUGCAGCUAUGGAAACCCUCCCUUAACUUCUGUAUAUCCUUGAUAAUAGCCCCAAUAACCGAAUCAUCUUCCCGAUUGCUGCACAACUUUUUCACUACUUUUUCACAGCUUUUUAAAACAUCGUGUUUAAGUUAUUAAUACGAUUUGUACAAACAUGUUUACAAAUUGAUAUAUAUAUGUUUUUAAAUAUUUUCACGAUAAAUCCAAGUUAUACUUAAACUAACAAGGUUAAAAAAAUAUGAUUAAUUCACGCGUAGAUCUCGAAAAGUUAAUCGAAAUAAAAAAAAUCGCCUCAAUCGGACAACCGAGCGAAAAGUUAUGGUCUUUCAAGGUUUUCCAAGCUAAAAAACAUAAACUGUUCAUGAAUUAUUACUUCAAAAUGCUUUUUUUGGAGGGAAAAUACCAAAAAGCCCUAUAUUUUUAAAAUUUAUCGAAAUGGGCCCGGUAUUUUAUUUUUUUGACCGUUUGGUAGUGUUCACGCGCGGGCCGAAAUCGCGGCCACGUCAGCGCGCUUUGCUGACGUGGCCGCGAUUUCCUAGCGCGUACCUUGAUAUUACGCUGACGUGGACGCGAUUUCGCAAAAAAUGGACCAUUCCAGUAAAUAAUUAAAUAAUGGGCCCAUUUCGAUAAUUUUUGAAAAAAAGGGCUUUUAUUGGUAAAUUGCCCAUUUUUUUGCUAUAUUAACCCCUGAAAGCCGAACAUCCCUUUCCCUUUUCCUUUACCUGUUCGCCGGUAAAGUUUUAUCAGCUAUUUCCACCAACUUUUCGUUUCCACUGCUAAUCCUACGGCACUAGAUCCACCAUCUCUUCCGUCGUGGUAAUCAUCCUCCUCCAUCGCGAACAUUGGUACUCAUGGCCCAGUUUGUCUUCUGUCUCUCUCCACCUCCCUCAUAACAAAUCCCGGCACCUCAUCCAUAAGGUAAAUCGUUUCCCCGCUUUUUAGUCCCUCUGUAGCUAUAAUGUGUGACGAUUAAUUUCCCCCUUUAGCAGUGUAUAGAAACUUGCAGCUAUGGAAACCCUCCCUUAACUUUUGUAUAUCCUUGAUAAUAGCCCCAAUAACCGAAUCAUCUUCCCGAUUGCUGCACAACUUUUUCACUACUUUUUCACAGCUUUUUAAAACAUCGUGUUUAAGUUAUUAAUACGAUUUGUACAAACAUGUUUACAAAUUGAUAUAUAUAUGUUUUUAAAUAUUUUCACGAUAAAUCCAAGUUAUACUUAAACUAACAAGGUUAAAAAAAUAUGAUUAAUUCACGCGUAGAUCUCGAAAAGUUAAUCGAAAUAAAAAAAAUCGCCUCAAUCGGACAACCGAGCGAAAAGUUAUGGUCUUUCAAGGUUUUCCAAGCUAAAAAACAUAAACUGUUCAUGAAUUAUUACUUCAAAAUGCUUUUUUUGGAGGGAAAAUACCAAAAAGCCCUAUAUUUUUAAAAUUUAUCGAAAUGGGCCCGGUAUUUUAUUUUUUUGACCGUUUGGUAGUGUUCACGAGCGGGCCGAAAUCGCGGCCACGUCAGCGUGCUUUGCUGACGUGGCCGCGAUUUCCUAGCGCGUACCCUGAUAUUACGCUGACGUGGACGCGAUUUCGCAAAAACUGGACCAUUCCAGUAAAUAAUUAAAUAAUGGGCCCAUUUCGAUAAUUUUUGAAAAAAAGGGCUUUUAUUGGUAAAUUGCCCAUUUUUUUGCUAUAUUAACCCCUGAAAGCCGAACAUCCCUUUCCCUUUUCCUUUACCUGUUCGCCGGUAAAGUUUUAUCAGCUAUUUCCACCAACUUUUCGUUUCCACUGCUAAUCCUACGGCACUAGAUCCACCAUCUCUUCCGUCGUGGUAAUCAUCCUCCUCCAUCGCGAACAUUGGUACUCAUGGCCCAGUUUGUCUUCUGUCUCUCUCCACCUCCCUCAUAACAAAUCCCGGCACCUCAUCCAUAAGGUAAAUCGUUUCCCCGCUUUUUAGUCCCUCUGUAGCUAUAAUGUGUGACGAUUAAUUUCCCCCUUUAGCAGUGUAUAGAAACUUGCAGCUAUGGAAACCCUCCCUUAACUUCUGUAUAUCCUUGAUAAUAGCCCCAAUAACCGAAUCAUCUUCCCGAUUGCUGCAC